UUUUAACUGAGCGUUCAGUUACUUGACGUAGACCCGAAACCGGGCGACCUACCCAUGAGCAGGAUGAAGCGAAAGUAAAAUUUCGUGGAGGUCCGAACCCACGAGCGUUGAAAAGCUCGGGGAUGACUUGUGGGUAGCGGUGAAAUUCCAAUCGAGCCCGGAGAUAGCUGGUUCUCCCCGAAAUAGCUUUAGGGCUAGCCUCAAGGUGAGAGAUACGGAGGUAGAGCACUGAAUGUCCUAGGGGGUAUUGCACCUACCGAAGACUAUCAAACUCCGAAUGCCGUCAUCUUAUACUUGGGAGUCAGACUGUGGGUGAUAAGAUUCAUAGUCGAAAGGGCAACAGCCCAGAUCGUCAGCUAAGGUCCCUAAAUGUAAGUUAAGUGGUAAAGGAUGUGGGAUUGCACAGACAACCAGGAUGUUGGCUUAGAAGCAGCCACUCAUUCAAAGAGUGCGUAAUAGCUCACUGGUCGAGUGAUCCUGCGCCGAAGAUUUCCGGGGCUAAAACUUACUACCGAAGCUACGGCAUCAGUAAUGAUGGG
rnacentral:rRNA from 1 species